rnacentral:rRNA from 1 species
UACGUAGGCAGCAAGCGUUGUUCGGAGUUACUGGGCGUAAAGGGUGUGUAGGCGGUUGCUUAAGUUUGGUGUGAAAUCUCCCGGCUCAACCGGGAGGGUGCGCCGAAUACUGAGUGACUCGAGUGCGGGAGAGGAGAGUGGAAUUCCUGGUGUAGCGGUGAAAUGCGUAGAUAUCAGGAGGAACACCGGUGGUGUAGACGGCUCUCUGGACCGUAACUGACGCUGAGACACGAAAGCGUGGGUAGCAAACAGG